UACGUAGGUGACGAGCGUUGUCCGGAUUUACUGGGCGUAAAGAGCGCGCAGGCGGUCGUUCAAGUCGAGUGUGAAAUCCCCCGGCUCAACUGGGGAGGGUCACUCGAUACUGAUCGACUCGAAGGCAGGAGAGGGUAGUGGAAUUCCCGGUGUAGUGGUGAAAUGCGUAGAUAUCGGGAGGAACACCAGUGGCGAAGGCGACUACCUGGCCUGUUCUUGACGCUGAGGCGCGAAAGCUAGGGGAGCAAACGGG
rnacentral:rRNA from 1 species